rnacentral:rRNA from 1 species
ACGCAUUAAGUUGACCGCCUGGGGAGUACGGCCGCAAGGUUAAAACUCAAAUGAAUUGACGGGGGCCCGCACAAGCGAUGGAGCAUGUGGAUUAAUUCGAAGCAACGCGCAGAACCUUACCAACGUUUGACAUCCCUAUCGCGGAUCGUGGAGACACUUUCCUUCAGUUCGGCUGGAUAGGUGACAGGUGCUGCAUGGCUGUCGUCAGCUCGUGUCGUGAGAUGUCGGGUUAAGUCCCGCAACGAGCGCAACCCUCGCCUUUAGUUGCCAGCAUUUAGUUGGGUACUCUAAAGGAACCGCCGGUGAUAAGCCGGAGGAAGGUGGGGAUGACGUCAAGUCCUCAUGGCCCUUACGCGUUGGGCUACACACGUGCUACAAUGGCGACUACAGUGGGCAGCCACCUCGCGAGAGGGAGCUAAUCUCCAAAAGUCGUCUCA